rnacentral:ncRNA from 1 species
UCUGCGGGAGCCCUACGGGGCUGAGAGGGCCCCAGUGCCGACCGUCGAACCUGAUGCGGGUCAUGCCGCCGAAGGGAAGGAUG